AGUGAACGCUGGCGGUAGGCCUAACACAUGCAAGUCGAACGGCAGCACAGUAAGAGCUUGCUCUUACGGGUGGCGAGUGGCGGACGGGUGAGGAAUACAUCGGAAUCUACUUUUUCGUGGGGGAUAACGUAGGGAAACUUACGCUAAUACCGCAUACGACCUACGGGUGAAAGCAGGGGAUCUUCGGACCUUGCGCGAUUGAAUGAGCCGAUGUCGGAUUAGCUAGUUGGCGGGGUAAAGGCCCACCAAGGCGACGAUCCGUAGCUGGUCUGAGAGGAUGAUCAGCCACACUGGAACUGAGACACGGUCCCGACUCCUACGGGAGGCAGCAGUGGGGAAUAUUGGGCAAUGGGCGCAAGCCUGAUCCAGCCAUACCGCGUGGGUGAAGAAGGCCUUCGGGUUGUAAAGCCCUUUUGUUGGGAAAGAAAAGCAGCAGGUUAAUACCCCGCUGUUCUGACGGUACCCAAAGAAUAAGCACCGGCUAACUUCGUG
rnacentral:rRNA from 1 species